rnacentral:rRNA from 1 species
AAUCAACGCUGGCGGCGUGCCUAACACAUGCAAGUCGAACGAAGUCUUCGGACUUAGUGGCGGACGGGUGAGUAACACGUGGGAACGUACCUUUUGGUUCGGAACAACUCAGGGAAACUUGAGCUAAUACCGGAUGAGCCCUUAGGGGGAAAGAUUUAUCGCCGAAAGAGCGGCCCGCGUUAGAUUAGCUAGUUGGUGAGGUAAAGGCUCACCAAGGCUACGAUCUAUAGCUGGUCUGAGAGGAUGAUCAGCCACACUGGGACUGAGACACGGCCCAGACUCCUACGGGAGGCAGCAGUGGGGAAUCUUGCGCAAUGGGCGAAAGCCUGACGCAGCCAUGCCGCGUGAAUGAUGAAGGUCUUAGGAUUGUAAAAUUCUUUUACCAGGGACGAUAAUGACGGUACCUGGAGAAAAAGCCCCGGCUAACUUCGUGCCAGCCGCCGCAGUAACAC